GCCCCCUUAGCUCAGUGGUAGAGCACUUCCAUGGUAAGGAAGGGGUCCGCGGUUCAAAUCCGCGAGGGGGCU
rnacentral:tRNA from 2 species